AUACUUACCUGGCUCAGGGUGUACCGUGAUCAGUCAGGCGGUCACCCCUGGCAGAGGCCCGGCCAUUGCACAACCGGUCCAGGCUGACGCCCGCGAUUCCUUCUAAUGUUAGGAACUCGGGAGUACAAUUUCUGGUAGUGGGGACUGCGUUCGCGCUCUCCCCC